CCAACUCGGGUUGGAGAAAUGAGCAGAAUUCAGGAUGGAGGAACCAAGCUCCUGGCCAAGGGUCGGGAUCAAACCAAGGCAAUCAGCUCCCCCGACCUCCACAGCAAUUGGGGUAUCAGAACCAGCAGCAGUUCUACCCAUCUCAACAACAGCCCUCAUUUCCUCAGCAGCAGCAUUACCCUCAACCAUAUCAGCAACAGCAGCCACCGCAGCAACUCUACCCACCUCAGCAGCACCAACCUCCAGGCCCCUUAUUUGAAGAUCAGAUGCAAGCUAGCAAACAGGCGAUGGAGGCUCAGAGUGCUACCAUCAAGCGCCUCGAGACUACAGUUGGGCAAUUAACAGGAGCCUUGAAUCAGCUGCAGCAAGAACAACCAACUGGGAAGUUCCCAA
rnacentral:lncRNA from 1 species